rnacentral:rRNA from 1 species
UACGUAGGGUGCAAGCGUUGUCCGGAAUUAUUGGGCGUAAAGAGCUCGUAGGCGGUCUGUCGCGUCUGCUGUGAAAACUCGGGGCUUAACCCCGGGCCUGCAGUGGGUACGGGCAGACUAGAGUGCGGUAGGGGAGACUGGAAUUCCUGGUGUAGCGGUGAAAUGCGCAGAUAUCAGGAGGAAUACCGGUGGCGAAGGCGGCAUCCUGGACCGAGAUUGACACUGAGGAGCGAAAGCCAGGGGAGCAAACGGG